rnacentral:rRNA from 1 species
GUUGACCUCGGAUCAGGUAGGAAUACCCGCUGAACUUAAGCAUAUCAUUAAGCGGAGGAAA